UGGGGAAUAUUGGGCAAUGGGCGCAAGCCUGACCCAGCAACGCCGCGUGAAGGAAGAAGGCUUUCGGGUUGUAAACUUCUUUUGUCAGGGACGAGUAGAAGACGGUACCUGACGAAUAAGCCACGGCUAACUACGUGCCAGCAGCCGCGGUAAUACGGAGGAUCCGAGCGUUAUCCGGAUUCAUUGGGUUUAAAGGGUGCGCAGGCGGGUCUGUAAGCCCGUGGUGAAAGCCUGGUGCUCAACGCCAGAGGUGCCGCGGGAACUGCAGGUCUUGAGUCGUGACGAGGGCGGCGGAAUGCGAAGUGUAGCGGUGAAAUGCUUAGAUAGUUCGCAGAACGCCGAUUGCGAAGGCAGCCGCCCAGGGACGCACUGACGCUGAGGCACGAAGGCAUGGGGAUCGAACAGGAUUAGAUACCCUGGUAGU
rnacentral:rRNA from 1 species